AUUACACCUCACCUGGAUGAAAACAGAAUCGCCACGAACAUCGUGCACCUGGUGGUGCUGGGUCGCCAGCCAUCCUCCACUCAAGGGCCACCCGAUUCACGUACAUCUGGGACCACAGCCUCUGCGGUGACAGGGCCCAUGGACUAUCACAUAUUAUUAGGGAUCAUAGUGGGGGUGAUCAUAGUGGGAGUGAUUGUCAUAGUGAUCGUGUUGAAGAAAUUUGGGCUGUCCCAGUGCCGCAGAAGGCAAAGUUCUGAGCCUCCAGAUAACACCACAGAGCUCCAGCCUCGUCCCGCCCAGCCAAACGAAUGCCAAGUAGAUCAGGCCCGGCAGCAGCAAGACCUAUUGGUGAACGGCAGGGCCCAGGAGGACGAAGAGUGUGUCUGAAGGGGUGAGUGACCCUUCUCUCCUCUGUGAGGAGGGGCCUCAUCUUGUUUAUUUAAUGGCUUUAAUCUGCCACUCCUGUAAAUAAAGCACAUGGGCACCAGAGACAGGAACCAAUUGAUCUGCCAAGACCCCAGGGUUCUGCCAUAUCCCUGCAGCAGCUCCUCUCAGACUCUGAGAGGUCAGGAGGGUGAUCUAAUGGGUAAAGCAUUGGGCUGGGACUCAGAGUGACAUGGGGCCAGGCACUGCAUCUACCCUGUGCCUGUGAAAUAAGGGUGACCCUACCUAUGGGUGAGGUGCCCAGACACUGCAGUGAUAAGGGCCACAUCAGUGGCUAUGCAGAGAGAAGGUUGGCAGACCCCAUCCUUGUCACUGCCAGCCCUAUAGCUGCUAGCAGGCGAAGGUCAGAACCCCUGGGCUUAGGUCUUGGUGAGUCAGUAAAGGGAAACUUUGAAACCCGUCUUUAGCGACCACUCAACUCAUCAGCAGAAGCCCCUGGUUGCUUUGUGGAAGUGUCUGUCUGAUAAGGGUGGAAAAGUUCCACCUUAGUAGAUUUGUACUUGGGGUGGGGUGUUUGAGACUGGUCUUUGCCUAAUAAGCGUGGUCUCUACUGGACAGAUUUCAGUAUGUUGUUUUCUAUGUAAAAUGCCUGCAUUUGUUUCAUCUUAACUCUACCCGCACCUUCAAGACCUAAAUCGUGAAGUUAUUGUAACUUAUUUUAUUUAUUGCUAGCAUAAGAAGAGCCAUAGUUCUCUUCUGCACUGAGAACCUGCCCCACCCCCCCUUCUAAAAUUUGUUUACAUCUGGAACUGGAUCAGCCACUCUCCUCAGCAGGGUUUCAGAUAGUCACUGAAUAGACCCAAUGGGUUUUCUGUACCAGCACUGAACUCUUAGCAACAUAAGGUCCCAAGCAACAAGAGAUCAAAAGAUCUGGCCUACUCCACCCUCACAUGCAGGGGCGCUGGAAUAAUUUGUACAGUGUGUGUGUGGGGGGGAGGGGAGUGGGUGCUGAGACGCAUUGAACCAAACUGUAAACCCUGGAUAUGCUGGAAACCACUUCAAGCCAGGGGGUGUGGCUGCAUCCCCAGCCGCCCUAGUUCCAGCACCUGUGCUCACACGGCUUUGUUCCAUCUCAGUAUGCACCAGACCCGAUUCUGCUCUCACAUUAAUGUAGCUCCAGAAUGAUGCCUCUGAAACCAAUGGGCUCAGGGGAGAUUCUGAUCUCUGACCCGAGUAUAAAUCCAGCCCUCUGUAAAUCCAGAGCAAGUUAGAACCACUCUGGAUUUAUACUGGGUCCUGGAUAUCAGAAUCAGGUUCUGUCCCCAUUGACUGCAGUGGGGUCGUUCUGGAUCGAUGCUAGCGUGAGAGCAGAAUCUGGUUUGUGGCCGAUGUUUGUCUUGGAGCAUUAAACCACUGGAGUGUUGCUCACCACUCGUGAGCAUAAUAGGAAUAAUCAUCUUUGUACUGUAACUCCAGCAUUGCCACCGAUCUAGCCACAACCCUUUUCUUGCGCAUAAGAAAGCAGCGUGCUGCCAAGCACGUGUAAAACAUAGUCUUUGACACAGGUCUAAGUGUCUACCUCAGCCUUUCGUGGCUGGAACAAGACUGCACGCCGUAGCUGACCAAAACUUGGAGGUGACAGUGGGAGCACAACUUGCAUUCUCCUCUCCCAAACGCACAGGCUGUGACCACUUAAGCUAAGAAUCUCUGUUAUGUAUUAGCUCUAUGGGCUUUAAAGCCACACAGGUGAGCAGUUCUAAUUCCAGCCACAGGGCAGCGAUAUAUAGCUGAGACAUAUCACUGUGGACUCAUAAGAGGUACGUUGCACUGUGAAUUACACUAACUCAACCCUUAUUUCAGUGUUGUACAGUUUCUGUGAACUAAGAUGCCUCAGACUUUUCAAAUCAAUUAAAUCCAAUCAGCAAACUACAGCAAAUAGACCUAUCACCUUGCAUUACCAGGAAAUUCACCAGCUCUGUGCUUCAGUUUCCCCAUCUGUAAAAUGCUGACCUCCUCUGUGAAAUGUUUGAGAUCAACUGAUAAAAAAUGCUAUAUAAGAGCCAGAUAUUUCUUGUUAUUCAGUAUUAACAAAUCUACUGACAUGCUAAAAACUAUUGUUCUUCAGAACACAUUUUUUAAGAUCUAUGGAUUUUAUACAAUAGAAUAUAUAUUUUUUUUUAAUCCAGAAACCUAUUUUCCAACAGUAUCCAUAGUACUACUGAAAUAAGUUUCUAUCCGGGACAGUAUUUUGUUAAAUUAAUGUCUGGUCUGCCAUUUCUGUUAUGCAAUUUUUUUUAAAAAAGCCAUGACACUGUUUUGAUGUGACAAAUGGAUGUAUUCUAGGUGCUACAUUUAAUAUAUUCUGUCCAUAAGUUAUUGCACUUUAUAUGUUCAUUCCCUCUUUUCUAACUGUAUUACUUUUAAUUCCUACUUUUCUACAAUUUCAAUAAACUAUUUAUUACAUUUU